AAAGAAGCUUGUUCUCACACCCUAUCAUCUAUAAAGAAAACCAACCACAACACACCCUCCAUACUCUAUCCUUUAAGCUAAAAGAAAAGCUUCUCUCUUAUUCCCUUCACUUGUCUUCUUCUUACAAUCCACAAUCAUCAUGCAAUGAUGAUUAGAUUUUAUAUAUAUGUAUCUUCUUUCAUCCUAUGCUAUAUAAGGCUAUGAUAUAACAAAAUAAUAUACAAAGGUAUAUUAUAUAUCAUAUACAUAAAAAAGAAGGAAAAGAAAAGAGAAUUGUUAUUUCAUAUAUGGGUAGUAAUAGCAUUUUUGUUGCAAGGUUAUUGUUUAGAGCAUUAUUAGUGUUGGUCUUGGUGGGGCUUGUUGGUGGCAAUGGAGGAAGAACAAUAAAGGCUUCAGAAACACUACAAGUGAAGAAGAUAGUUAGAGAUAACAACAUGAUGAGCAAUAACAAUAGGAGGGUUUUCAAUGGACCAGAUCCAAUUCAUAACAGGAAAAUGAGGAAAUAAUUCUGGUCAACCUCCCGGUCAAUCUUAGUCAACAAAAAAUUCUACAAGCUUCACCCACCAUUUGACGAGGAGUAAUUCUUGCAUAUACACCUCAUAUUUUGGGACAUACAUGGAAGGCUAAAGAGGGAGGGGUAAAAAAAGAAAAGAGAAGCUUGUGCCACAGAAGAUAAGCUCAAAGCAAUGAAAACAAAGUUUUGUUAUGUCUCAGAAGUGCAACCAGCUAUACUUUAAAUCACAUAAUUUUUUUGUUUUUA